AACGAAGGCUGGCGGCAUGCCUAACACAUGCAAGUCGAACGAGACCUUCGGGUCUAGUGGCGCACGGGUGCGUAACGCGUGGGAACCUGCCCUUAGGUUCGGAAUAACUCCCCGAAAGGGGUGCUAAUACCGGAUAAUGUCUUCGGACCAAAGAUUUAUCGCCUUUGGAUGGGCCCGCGUUGGAUUAGCUAGUUGGUAGGGUAAAAGCCUACCAAGGCGACGAUCCAUAGCUGGUCUGAGAGGAUGAUCAGCCACACUGGGACUGAGACACGGCCCAGACUCCUACGGGAGGCAGCAGUGGGGAAUAUUGGACAAUGGGCGAAAGCCUGAUCCAGCAAUGCCGCGUGAGUGAUGAAGGCCUUAGGGUUGUAAAGCUCUUUUACCCGGGAUGAUAAUGACAGUACCGGGAGAAUAAGCUCCGGCUAACUCCGU
rnacentral:rRNA from 1 species